CAUGAACCUGAUAAGAACAAGGAGAACUUGCAGAAAACGAAAAAAAACGUGAAGAAAAAGAAUGAGAACGAGAUAAAAAGAAGAUAAAAGAAAAUUCGGAUUUAAAGCAAUUAUAAUAUAAAUAAAGUAAAUGUCAAUUGAUAAGGGCCUUCCUAACACUCUUACAAUAGAGAAACUGAACUUGAUAUAUGAAACUAUGCGAC
rnacentral:lncRNA from 1 species